rnacentral:misc_RNA from 1 species
AAGUCGUAACAAGGUAACCGUAGGUGAACCUGCGGUUGGAUCAUUAACAAAAAGAUAAGCGUCAGACCUUAAAACGUCUGGCACUUAUAAACACCUGUGCACUUGUAGUGUUUGAAGCAAGGUAAAAUUGGAGACCCAGUAGGGUCUUUGGGGGUGUUGAAGGUUAAUUAGCCCUAGUUGCUAAUGCGUUCAUACCUCACCUUCCUGCUUUGACAUCAACAUUUAACAUGUAUAUCUUGAGCUAGUUUAUUAAUUAUAUUAAUAUCUAACAACUUUUGACAACGGAUCUCUAGGCUCUC